CUGCGGUGCUUACCAUGCAAGUCGAACGAGGUCCAUGGAGCUUGCUCCGGAAGACCUAGUGGCGAACGGGUGCGUAACACGUGAGAAACCUGCCCCGAUCUCUGGGAUAACAGUUGGAAACGACUGCUAAUACCGGAUGCCAUCACACCGCUUCAUGGUGGAGUGAUGAAAGAUUUAUCGGAUCGGGAGGGUCUCGCGGCCUAUCAGCUAGUUGGAGAGGUAACGGCUCACCAAGGCAUCGACGGGUAGCUGGUCUGAGAGGAUGAUCAGCCACACUGGGACUGAGACACGGCCCAGACUCCUACGGGAGGCAGCAGUGGGGAAUCUUGCACAAUGGGCGAAAGCCUGAUGCAGCAACGCCGCGUGCGGGAAGAAGGCCCUAGGGUUGUAAACCGCUUUCAGUAGGGAAGAAAAUGACGGUACCUACAGAAGAAGGUGCGGCCAACUACGUGCCAGCAGCCGCGGUGACACGUAGGCACCAAGCGUUAUCCGGAUUUAUUGGGCGUAAAGAGCUCGUAGGCGGUUUGGUAAGUCGGGUGUGAAAACUCUGGGCUCAACCCAGAGAGGCCACCCGAUACUGCUAUGACUAGAGUACGGUAGGGGAGCGGGGAAUUCAUGGUGUAGCGGUGAAAUGCGCAGAUAUCAUGAGGAACACCAGCGGCGAAGGCGCCGCUCUGGGCCGUAACUGACGCUGAGGAGCGAAAGCAUGGGUAGCAAACAGGAUUAGAUACCCUGGUAGUCCAUGCCGUAAACGUUGGGCACUAGGUGUGGGUCUCAACCAACGAGAUCCGCGCCGUCGCUAACGCAUUAAGUGCCCGGC
rnacentral:rRNA from 1 species